rnacentral:rRNA from 1 species
UACGUAGGGUGCGAGCGUUAAUCGGAAUUACUGGGCGUAAAGCGUGCGCAGGCGGUUUUGUAAGCCAGAUGUGAAAUCCCCGGGCUUAACCUGGGAAUGGCAUUUGGGACUGCAAGGCUGGAGUGCGGCAGAGGAGACUGGAAUUCCUGGUGUAGCAGUGAAAUGCGUAGAUAUCUGGAGGAACACCGGUGGCGAAGGCGGCGUUCUGGACUGCAACUGACACUGAAAAACGAAAGCCAGGGGAGCAAACGGG